AGACGUCAUGAUGUUAAAGAAAAACCUCUUCUCAGAAUCACACAAAACUGAAUAUGCGGGGAGAAUACAAAAACCCUAAUUCGAUCUACAUAACACCAGAAUUACUGGAAGAAAUAUUCCUUGUUCUGCCCUUGAAAUCAAUACUCAUAUUCAAAACCGUGUCAAAACAAUGGAGAUCAAUUCUGGAAUCGGAGAUGUUCGUGCGAAGAAGGAGGCGUAUGAAUGUUCAAAAAGAGCCGAAACUCCUCGCUGCUUACAAGUGUCGCUGCGGAGACCAGCCGAGUCUCCUCCCGGAGUCGCGGUUUGAAGGGGACGAGGAGAUUGUCUGUCUUCACUGCGGCGACGCACGACCCUCGAUGUCUUGCGACGGUUUGGUCUGCAUCCCCGAGCCAGAAAGCAUCAUCGUUUUGAACCCUUCCACCGGACAACUCCGGCGAUUCCCUCCCUGCCCAGAUCCAUUGUCCUCCCGAUUUAGAAACGGGUCGGAGGAGUUCUUUCAGGGAAAUUGGGUCAUGGGUUUCGGUAAAGACAUUGUUACAGGGAGCUAUAAAGUGGUGAAGAUGUGCGUUGAACCUAUUGAAGAAGAAUGCGAUCUUCUUAGUGUCGAAAGUGGUGAAUGGAGGAAACUAAGGCUACCUCCUUAUGUGCAUCAUGUUGGAAGAAAAUCAGUGUGUGUUAAUGGAUCUAUCUAUUGGAUGUUCUCGGGGCGGCGUUUACAAAUUGGUAUUGGUUACAAAAUACUAGCCUUGGAUCUUCACAGACUAGAGUUCCAUAAUGUCUCUGUUCCGUCGGCUACGUGGGUCACCCGGAGCACCGAGAUAGUGAAUCUUGGGGAACGUCUAGCCAUUGCCAAAUCCACAAUUCUGCCUGAAUGGACACUGGAGAUUUGGACCAUGAAUGCGAAUGAGGAAAAAUGGAGCAAAACUUUCUCCAUAAAUUUAGGUGAUCUAGAUUCUAAUCUACCAUUGACAAGGUAUGGUAUGGACUUCACGCCGGUGACGGUUUCUAAGCAGGGUAAUGUUGUCUUCUGUAAUAAUUUCAGAAAUUUGUUCAAAUAUUAUUCGGAGGCGAAAGAGAUUCGCUGCCUCUCCUUGGAUACUUUAGUUAUAUCUCCCUACAUCGAGAACUUGGUUCCGCUUUCGGGACAUCAAGAAUAUCAGACCAGGACUUGUAGAUGCAGAUUGUUUUCUAAGCACCAGGAGCAAUGCUUCAAGAUGUCCAAGCUUUUGAAAUGGGUUAGCUUUGGGAUCCUGACUCAUCUCGUUCAAAACAAACAGAGCGCUCUCUCUGGCGCCAAUAGCAGGAUCUUCUACAGAUCCUUCUCCGCUCUUCUUUGUCUUCUGCUUCCCAUGGACAUGUUUAAUCUUUAUGUGAGAAAGCUAGCGAACAGAAUUGGAAUUUCUGAGGGCUAUGCUACUGUGCUCCUCCUCUCAAAUGACUGGGAUGAAGCUUCUACAGUUGAAGAGUGGAACCAAGCUGACAAUGAUCUUGCCACCAGAUCUGGCAUUGUAGUUUAUGCAGAGUAUUUGACUACCGAAGGGUUUUGUGAUUCUUGUGAGACUCACACCACCUGCAAAACCUAUGGGUGCUCUCACUUGCUCUGCAGAAUUUGUGUCAAAGAUUACGUGGAACAAAACAUCAGGUCCGGCAGCCUGAAUGUUAAAUGCCUUAUCUCUGAAUGCAACAAGAACAUGUCAUGUUCUCGAUUCCUUGAUGACGUUUCUCUGGACUGCAAAAAUUCCUUCAACGCGGCUCUGGCUGAGAAUUACACUCUCUCUAAAUCCAAAAAUGCAGUUCAGAACCCGAUUGCUUCUCUAAAAGGGCUUGUUGCGUAUCUCCGAGCUAACAAGUGGAACUUUGUUUCAAGGGCUGCUACAUUUCUCCAGAGUAACAUGUGGACACUACUUGCAAGCUUGCUAUUUGCGAUAUUAGUUUGUCAACAGUUCUGCGGUGGAAUCACGUUUACGUGUGUGGGAGUGUACUCUGCCUUGUGUCUAGUGGCUAGAUAUGUUUGCUGGGGACAUAUGAUGAAGCUGAUCUUCGCAUUCUUCUUCUACAAACUUGUGACGACAAACUCUGUCUUUACCGCUGCUGCAUUUUCUUCCGCCGCCACACUUGUGCUCAUCUUUGCGGCUAUAGUUGGAUUGGUACGUCGUUGUUUCCAGAUUGUUAUGCGGAUUUUCAGAUAUAUCUCUUCGGCGUAUGUCUCCUCUGUUUUCCGUGUCGCCGGGAACUCUGAUUUCGCGUGGGAGAAGUUUAUACCCUCUGUUUACGGCCGCCUUAUCUCUAGCUUGACUCAUCUGAGUUUCUCCUCCAAAAAGGAGAUCUAUCGUUGUCUCUGUGAAUCAAUUCUCAUCGAUAAUGGCAGAAAGGUUCUUCCAUCAUCCCACAGUACAAUAAUAUUAGUUUUUUGGUUUUUCUCUCUCUUUAUAUAAAAGCUUUUAGCUUAGGCAUGUUUCAAUAUCAAAUAUUCAAGAUAGAGAAGCUUACUAGGAAGAUAACGUAUGUUCUGUCGGCAAGAGAUCGUUCCAUAACUUGGGGGGAUCAACGACAUUACUGGUCUUGGAGCCAUCGAUCAGAUUCAAAGUCAACUUUAAAAAAUUUUAAACUAUAUUAUAAGUUAGAAAUCAUCGGAAAAAUCCAAACCGGAGUUUUAUCGCCGAACACGAGUUACGGAGCUUAUCUGAUUAUGAAAGUGAAGAGCAUAUGGACUAGACUUAGUACCGGCUGAUACUUGGAUAAAAGUGGGAAAUGGUGAGAAGAAAGCGAAAACGAGUUUUCUCAGUUGCUUGGAUAACAAGAAACAACAAAUGGAGAGGAUGGCCAAGAAAGACGAGAUCAUCGG